GCGAGUUUGAUCUGUUUGUUCGUCUGUGUUUCAGAUAAAACAGGAGCUGGUCAAGUACGGUCUGCCGAACAGCGUCGAGCUGAAGUUAAGAAAAACGCAGAAGAUAAAUCCGUAAUUACAGCCUCCUUCAGGAAAAUGAAAACCGACAUAAUGAAUACAGGAUACUUCGUGAAGUAUGUGAACAAGUAUGUGCACGCUCUAGCUGCCCCAUUACAGAAAUUCAAAAAAUUUCCUUUAAAAUACCAUUACGAAUCCUUUUUGUGUGUUUUGGACAUUUUUCCAAUAGGAUUUAACCUCCCACCAAUAGAAUCCAUCACAUACCAGUACACAACAUUACAGUUUCCAUUAAAACCAAUACAAUUCCCAUUAUAACCACUAAACCCAUUACAUUUUCUGUUAUGUUUUGUUAUAACGCAUUAUGAGGUUUUUAUAAUGCAUUUAUUAUAUUGCCUUAAGAAUACCCUUAUAAUGUAUUAUAAACAUGGGCUUAAUAGAGUGUUUUGACCUUGAAGGCAUGUUAACCUGCUGUUUGGGAAAAUGCAAACCUUUUAUAACCUAUAUAAUAGGGGCGCUUUAAAGCUUUUUGCCUUUAAAUGAGUGCCAGUCAAAAAAAACUAAACAAAAACAACCAGAAGCCACCUACAUCUGAUAUGAAAAUACAAUGCAUUGAGUCUGCUGAGAAAUAAACAACCUUUACCAGCUUUACACAGGGUUGGCUUCAGAUGUACUAUAUGCAGGGCACCAUACCAGUAUAUACACCACCAAAAAUGCAAUAACGUAAUUUUUAAAGCAGACUUUGUCUUUAAAAAAGUCUUAAAGGAAUAGUUCGCCCCAAAACUGAAAAUGUUCACCCAUAUUGUACUCAUCCCGAAACCAUACGUGACUGGGUAAAAACACAGGUUCAUAAAGCAUAACAGAAGACACGCAUGAUACAAAAUGUUUUCUUUAGUGGACACAGUCAUACAAAGAUUACAUUACAUAAGUUAGAAAAAGUAAAAAAAUAAGUAUACCUAUGACAAACAUAUUUGAUGACCCUUUCAACAUUGCACCCAUAAAUGGAAAUUUCACCAUUUUUUUCAAAAGAGAAAUGUAAUUUUUUUCCCCCUUAAGAUUAGAGCCCAUAAGAACAAAAACGAACUAUACAACAAUUGCACUAUAUUACAAAUCACUAAUCACAGCUUUGUGUGAGAAGAAGGCUCCUCUUUACCAGAUAUAACUGGAUUUGUGAAACUGAUUGUUAUCUAAUUUUAUAAUAAUCAUUAAACUUGCUCACAUGAGAAA